UUUUAAUGUAGAAAUUUAACCAAAUGAUUAAUAGUUAAGGUCUUUAAAGUUAAAAAAUUUGGCGGUAUUUUAGUCUUUUCAGAGGAACCUGUUCUAUAAUUGAUAAUCCACGUUUUAAUUUACUUUAAUUAGAAAUUUGUAUAUCGUUGUUAAUGAAAAUUUUAUAAGAAUUUAAUUUUCAAAAUUUUUUUAAAAAUUUAAAUCAGAUCAAGGUGUAGUUUAUAUUAGAGAAGAAAUGGGUUACAAUAAAUUUAAUUUUUGGAUAUUUUAUUUAAAAUAAAAUUGAAAUUGGAUUUGAAAGUAAUUAAAUUUAAUUAAAUUUAAUGAUUUAGCUCUAAAAUAUGU
rnacentral:rRNA from 1 species